UCCAUCGUGAGGUGGAAUCUGAAGGAAGCUGGAUGUUGGGAACAUACUAACCAACGGGCAAAUCUCUGGUCUGACGAACAGAAAUCACAUGAGGCCAUGCAUGAGGGUAAGACUGCCAUACAAGUUGAAGCCCAAUAACCACACGGAAUCAUGCAUGGUAGAUGUGGCAGAUGGAUGGAGAGAAAGAAACGUGU
rnacentral:ncRNA from 1 species